UACAGAGGGGGCGAGCGUUGUUCGGAAUUACUGGGCGUAAAGGGCGCGUAGGUGGCCUGUUAAGUCGAACGUGAAAUCCCCGGGCUCAACCCGGGAACUGCGUCCGAGACUGGCAGGCUCGAAUCCGGGAGAGGGAUGUGGAAUUCCAGGUGUAGCGGUGGAAUGCGCAGAUAUCAGGAGGAACACCCGUGGCGAAGGCGGCCUUCUGGGUCCGCCCUGACGCUGAGGCGCGAAAGCGUGGGGAGCGAACGGG
rnacentral:rRNA from 1 species